rnacentral:rRNA from 1 species
GAUGAACGCUGGCGGCGUGCCUAAUACAUGCAAGUCGAGCGAACAGACGAGGAGCUUGCUCCUCUGACGUUAGCGGCGGACGGGUGAGUAACACGUGGAUAACCUACCUAUAAGACUGGGAUAACUUCGGGAAACCGGAGCUAAUACCGGAUAAUAUAUUGAACCGCAUGGUUCAAUAGUGAAAGACGGUUGUGCUGUCACUUAUAGAUGGAUCCGCGCCGCAUUAGCUAGUUGGUAAGGUAACGGCUUACCAAGGCAACGAUGCGUAGCCGACCUGAGAGGGUGAUCGGCCACACUGGAACUGAGACACGGUCCAGACUCCUACGGGAGGCAGCAGUAGGGAAUCUUCCGCAAUGGGCGAAAGCUUGACGGAGCAACGCCGCGUGAGUGAUGAAGGUCUUCGGAUCGUAAAACUCUGUUAUUAGGGAAGAACAAAUGUGUAAGUAACUAUGCACGUCUUGACGGUACCUAAUCAGAAAGCCACGGCUAACUACGUG